GGCUGAAGGGUUGGUUAAUGAAGACACCCUCAAACCAUCGGUAAGGGAGCCCUAAGUUACAGAUGGUAUGAAAAAAAAUCACACCAAAUUUUUCUGAACUGUGCACAUCAGGCAGAGUGGGACAGUCUGAGUAAAUUGAACUAGAAGAACAGGAACCACGAACAUCACUUUUCAUCCACCACCCCAACCCCAUCGUAAGAGAUGAAGAGAAAGGAAAUGGUUCUGAAAUGAAGAUCCAGUUUGCUUUGAAUGGACAUUAAAGAUGGGAUGGAUCUUUCCGUAGGAAUACAGCAUUACUCUGAUGUCCUUGGGCAAAAUUAACAAACAUGAGGUCCAUGAAAUUUGGGAUUCAAACUCCAUAUUUGUCUCUCUUUCAUUUUUGCCUACAAGUGUUUGUCACUUGACUGUUCUUGGGAUUUCACAGUGAACCUCUUUUUCAACAUGUAACAUUCAUUACCAUUAAAGAUAAUGCAAAAUUAAA